GGCGCUGUAGCUAAGUGUUAAAGCCGAAGUUUGCAAAGCUUCCAUCCUUCAGUUCAAAUCUGGAGCGGCGCCUCCA
rnacentral:tRNA from 1 species